rnacentral:rRNA from 1 species
UACGGAGGGGGCAAGCGUUAUUCGGAAUUAUUGGGCGUAAAGGGCGCGUAGGCGGCUAGAUGUGUCAAAGGUGAAAUCCCUCGGCUCAACUGAGGAACUGCCUUUGAAACUGUCUGGCUUGAGGCCGGGAGAGGGUAGCGGAAUUCCCAGUGUAGCGGUGAAAUGCGUAGAUAUUGGGAGGAACACCAGUGGCGAAGGCGGCUACCUGGACCGGAACUGACGCUGAUGCGCGAAAGCGUGGGAAGCAAACAGG